rnacentral:rRNA from 1 species
GAUGAACGCUGGCGGCGUGCCUAAUACAUGCAAGUCGAGCGAACGGACGAGAAGCUUGCUUCUCUGAUGUUAGCGGCGGACGGGUGAGUCACACGUGGAUAACCUACCUAUAAGACUGGGAUAACUUCGGGGAACCGUAUCUAAUACCGGAUAAUAUUUUGAACCGCAUGGUUCAAAAGUGAAAGACGGUCUUGCUGUCACUUAUAGAUGGAUCCGCGCUGCAUUAGCUAGUUGGUAAGGUAACGGCUUACCAAGGCAACGAUGCGUAGCCGACCUGAGAGGGUGAUCAGCCACACUGGAACUGAGACACGGUCCAGACUCCUACGGGAGGCAGCAGUAGGGAAUCUUCCGCAAUGGGCGAAAGCCUGACGGAGCAACGCCGCGUGAGUGAUGAAGGUCUUCGGAUCGUAAAACUCUGUUAUUAGGGAAGAACAGAUGUGUAAGUAACUGUGCACAUCUUGACGGUACCUAAUCAGAAAGCCACGGCUAACUACGUG